rnacentral:rRNA from 1 species
AGGCGGCGGCGGUGCGGAAUGGAGAGGAGCCGGGACAGGAGGCGGAGGUGGAGGGGCGGAGGUUCGCUACUGCUGCCGGGCUCUAGGUACCACUGCCGCCGACGUCACCGGGCUACCUUCGCCGCCGGUAGGGAUCGGCAACGGCGCACGAAGACGAUGAGUGCAACCGGUACCUAGACGUCGUCCCCGGAGGGAGGAGGCAAAGGGUCUCGGGCGUCGAUUAAGCGGUAGGCCUCUAAGCCUCGUCGUUCGCGGCCUGCUCCUGGCAUUGGACGACCUCCGGGCUCGCGCUGGAGCAGUUGCCGCUGCUGCGGGGCGUGUUCUAGUCAUCCUCGAGAGACGGAGAGGUUAAGGUACCUGCCGCUGCUGGCCCUGGGGUGCGAGUUUGGGCUGCUCGAACUUGCCGCUCCAGUAGGCUCGGCUGGUAGUACUAAGGGGUGUCUUGUUAUUCCAACUGAGAGAGCAAGACAAAAAGAAAAGAAGGUUAACGGUCGACGAGAAGAGAUCGUAUCAAGAGGUCCCCGAGUGGUUAAAAGAACCUGACUUGGACUACGUCUUUUACACAAGUGAAGCAAAGGACUAUGAGCGUUCGAUGUCGGUUCAAUGUCGGUGGCUGUCUGAUCGUGACGAUCUAUAAAGGAAAAAGAAGAGAGUGGCACGCUCGUAAUCGUCACAUCUUAAACACAAUUUAUUGAUGAUCAAUCUGUUCGACACACCACCAAGUGCAAAUCAAGGAUUAAUCCGGUACGGUCAUUACUUAUUUCGUAUAAUCACAAGAAGAGGAAAGAUAACAAUAAUCAGACCAUAUAGAGAUAUAAAAAUAUAACAGAAAUGAGGGACCGCAUCAACGUUUGAUUAUUAAUUGCUACACGUCUUGAACAGAUUUAAUCUACAUGAGUCACCGCCUCGAUGUUGUUUAUUCAACCCGCCCGGUUAAAAAAAGGAGAUUUGGUAUGUCAAUUCAUCCGUACUCAAUCACUUUAAAGUCCAACGGACAUAUCCCUUUGACCAUUGUCCUACUACAACAGUUCAUUUUAAACCUGUUUAUUUACUUUAAAGAACACGCGAUCGACGGACGACCAAGAUACCAGAACACGAGCAGCGGACCCAUCAAGUAGUCACCGAUCGGCGACCGUCGGCGGUAUACCGGUACGGGCAGCACCGUAUCCCUACCCAGUGGCAUCCCCAACGAUGUACGCCGCGGGCAGACGGACCGAUAACCUGGCGAGGUAGAGACUCACCGAACGAGUCACGACUUAGCCCCGUCUCUCGAGUAUCGACCUACGCUCCCUCUGUACGAUAACCUAAUUCGACAAUGUACAUGUUUUCUCAAAAUAAACAGAGACCUCGACCCACCCGGUACCGGAACAAAACGGGAGUGCUUCGAGGCGGUCACCUAGAUGAGUAGAAACAACAACAAUCCUAGUUUAUAGUUACGAUCAACUCAGUAUGAUGGAGGUAGAACUUUAUAUUCAGUAAAAAUAUCCGAUUUGAUCGGAUGUUUUUACAGAAUAUAAAACUCUGCCUCAAUCAUGAACAAUCAAGACUGGUACGGAUCGAAUUCCUGAGUAACCAUAAGAACUAUUCUUUUAGGACGUAUACAAGCAUGUACAAGGAUAGACUUAAUUAUAACCUACAAAGAACCACACACGUACACUGUCAGUUCCGUGUAAAAGUGUUAUAUACAACCAUAUACCACAACACUUUGAAGAUACUAACUUGUAUGGUGCCGUUCUAAAUCUUCAUUGAAAGAAGGUAGAUGUUUUCAACUCUCCGUCUCCCUCUCCGUGUGUCAAAAUGGUAACUUAUUCGAUGAGGGACUCGAUCUCCCUCCCCGUGUUCUAAAUGGUGACUUAUUCGACAAGGUAAGAUGUACUAACUCCGAGAUUUUACUUUAUUAUUUUACCACAUUGUUAGACAUCGAAAUCUCUAAAUCUCCGUGUGUAUCUAUUACUUUAUCACAUUGUUAGACGUCCAAACUUUUCAAAUCACAAGAAUAAACUAGAACCAAACGUCGUUUAUUAUUAUAACCACAACAGUAACGUGAAACCCGAGGUUACUUUAAGAACAUACACAGUUAAGAGACAGUUUUCAACAAAAUUGUCACACGAUUCAAAACAGCCUACGCAACUGAUCCAGACAGAGUACCUGUGGGUUUAAAACAUACGUUAAAAGAGUUGUGGGUCUAACCUCGGAUUCCAACCUGUAAAACUACCCUGACGCCUAGAAGCCUACAACCACGACUCUAACUACACCGGGAUCGAUGUACAUUCGCUUCGAAUACUACAGCUAGGAGGUCCGACGUGACGGUAGCAAAAUGGAGUCUUUGACAACCAGCAUUAAAACGUAGUGGUGAACAAUUAAAUAAAUAAUAACAAGGACAGUUUACGAUUAAGAACAGUUUAUCAUUAAGAAGUCGACAUACAACUACUAGAGAAUACCAACGUUCACUUUACGUAGGAACCCGUUUUACAGGUGUAAGAAUCUAUCCAGAUAAUGACAGAGGAAGUAUCGGAAGACCAAAAUAAAAGUGAUAUAUAGAAAAAACCAGAUUCAAAGUUGAAAGUUCACAGUUGUUAUACACCUAUAACAAGAAAUCCCAUAUAGGUUAAAACAUUACGAGAUAUAUUAUCCCUUCCAAGGCCCCAACCCAUUGGAUAAAAAACGUUUAACCACCAUGGGUUUCCACAACAAGGCGGUUUAUAACUGUUCAGCUAAGUACGGAUGAAUGUUCCUACCUUUUUAUUAUAUGAUGACCUGUGUUGACAUCUUCAUACAUCAACAAACAAAAGUGUUGCGUAUUGAUAGGGAAGAAGAUAUAAUUAUUGAAUAGUAGUUCCUAUACUGACCUGUAUACUAUUAAGUUACUUAGAAAACGUGACGUCAUACAUGACAGGGGGAAACUGGUCACAAAAACAAAAAGAACAAGCCUACUAUACGUGUUGAACUGUAAAGUAAAAAAUGGGUAUUGAACCAACAAAAUUAAUUAUGUCUAGAUGUACUUUGUACAUACAUCAUCUAUGAUACAAUAAGAGUGAACAUCGUCACGUUCUAAAUUCUUAAAACCUGUCGUACUCAAUAAGUAAAAAAUAUAAACAAAGUUAAGAGAAUAAAAAUGUUAGAUAAGUAUAGAUGUUUAUAGAUUACCACAACAUUUAUACGAUCCAUACUAACGCAUGGCCCGAUGAACCACGACGGGUAGUGUUAAACGUGACUGUACCAUUGAAGGUAGUUCUCCCGGCUGACGUUCUUGAACUUAUCGUUGAAGUUAUCAAAUUUACAAGACAAACACACUUGACCUAACAUGACAAAAAAUUGAAAGGGUUCAUUAUAUACAACAUUUGAUAGUAAAGUACCUCCUAAAACAUUCGACGAUACAACAUCUAUGAACACCCACUGACGUAAAACUAAGUAUACAC